CCUACGGGGGGCAGCAGUGGGGAAUAUUGCACAAUGGGCGCAAGCCUGAUGCAGCCAUGCCGCGUGUGUGAAGAAGGCCUUCGGGUUGUAAAGCACUUUCAGUUGUGAGGAAAGGGAUGUAGUUAAUAGCUGCAUUCUGUGACGUUAGCAACAGAAGAAGGACCGGCUAACUCCGUGCCAGCAGCCGCGGUAAUACGGAGGGUCCGAGCGUUAAUCGGAAUUACUGGGCGUAAAGCGUGCGUAGGCGGUUAAUUAAGUCAGAUGUGAAAUCCCGGGGCUCAACCUCGGAACUGCAUUUGAAACUGGUUAACUAGAGUAUUGUAGAGGGUGGUGGAAUUUCCAGUGUAGCGGUGAAAUGCGUAAAGAUUGGAAGGAACAUCAAUGGCGAAGGCGGCCACCUGGACAAAUACUGACGCUGAGGCACGAAAGCGUGGGGAGCGAACAGGAUUUAGAUACCCUGGUAGUCCACGCCGUAAACGAUGUCAACUAGCCGUCUGUUUCCUUGAGAAGUGGGUGGCGUAGCUAACGCGCUAAGUUGACCGCCUGGGGAGUACGGCCGCAAGGUUAAAACUCAAAUGAAUUGACGGGGGCCCGCACAAGCGGUGGAGCAUGUGGUUUAAUUCGAUGCAACGCGAAGAACCUUACCAUCCCUUGACAUCCAGAGAAUUUUCUAGAGAUAGAUUAGUGCCUUCGGGAACUCUGAGACAGGUGCUGCAUGGCUGUCGUCAGCUCGUGUUGUGAAAUGUUGGGUUAAGUCCCGCGACGAGCGCAACCCUUGUCCUUAUUUGCCAGCACUUCGGGUGGGAACUUUAAGGAGACUGCCGGUGAUAAACCGGAGGAAGGUGGGGACGACGUCAAGUCAUCAUGGCCCUUACGGGAUGGGCUACACACGUGCUACAAUGGUCGGUACAAAGUGCUGCGAGCUCGCGAGAGUCAGCGAAUCACUUAAAGCCGGUCGUAGUCCGGAUUGGAGUCUGCAACUCGACUCCAUGAAGUCGGAAUCGCUAGUAAUCGUAGAUCAGAAUGCUACGGUGAAUACGCUCCCGGGCCUUGUAC
rnacentral:rRNA from 1 species